rnacentral:lncRNA from 1 species
GACAUUCUCCAGACCUCUUGGCUGGUAGUUCAGCCAUUGGGCUCCUAGGACCCUAGGACCAUUGCUCAGAGCCUAACGUGAUUUGUUCUCUUGGCAAAAUGGCCUGAUGUCAAGGCCAUGCCAUCCUUAUUUUCAAGAGUUUUCUUGCCUCUUGUGAUAUAACCUGAGUGAUUUUAUUCUUGCAACAAGAAAGGAUCAUUUUCAUUUGUCAGAUGAGAAAACUGAGGUUCAGGUUGCUUAGGUAACAGGCAUGACGUCAUGAAGAUACGCUGAUGCCAAAGGAAGGAGAGAUUCUGAAAACAGCAUCCUGGAAGUUAACUGAGCCCUCAAGGGCUCCUCCUGAACCAGUAUCCUGGAGGAAGAGGACCACAUGUGCAACCGAGUGAGCGGUGUGGUUGGAUUAGUCUGCUGAGGCUGCCACAGAGUACUGCAAACUGGGUGACUUGAACAACAUCCAUUCAUUAUCUCGCAGUUCUGGAGACUCAAGUCCAACUUUAAGGUGUCUCCAGGGUUGGUUCCUUCUGAGGCUGUGAGGGAGGGUCUGUUCCAGGGCUUUCCUUGGCAUGUGACAACUGUCUUCUCCCUGGGUCUCUUUACAUCCGCUUUCUUCUAUCCCGGUGUGUCUCUGUAUCCAAAUUUCUAGACACAGAGACAGAUGGGGAUAGGACCCUAGUCAUAUUGGAUUUGGGCCCACCCUACUCUGGGAUGACUUCUUCCUAGCUGAGAUGAUUGUAACUGCAAUGACCCUCUAACGAAAUACGGUCACAUUCUGAGGUCCUGGGGGCUAGGACUGCCACAUAUGAAUUUUAAGGCAGCAUAAUUCAGCCCAUAACAAUCACUGAACUCUGUGACAUACUGGGACCCCAACAGCGCUUCUCCAAUGCGGUGUACUAUGAUGGGGUGUAUACAGGCACCACCACAUCCGGCUAACACACCACUCCAGGCCAUCAGGCAGCCCAGGCACAAGUAGCCUCCAGGAGAAAGCCGCUGAAUCACGAGGACUGGCAAGGCCCCUGCUGUGCCCUGCAAAAUGGCUCUUACUGGCCCUGAGCCAUAGCAGGGACCUUGGUGCCAGGAACACAAGCCUAGCAGAGUGACAACAGGACCACACCUGCCCCAUCCCUUAGCUUGGAAGUGGAUGUGUUAGGAACCUCACGUGGACUCCCAGAGAUUCUUGGCAGGGGGAGAGAUCUUUGCAGAGGCAGAAAGGAGCCAGCAUCAGGGCUAUUUACAACAUGCCUCCCUCUCCUACGGAUUUGCAGGAUGAUAAAGGGGUGGUUUCUAUCUUAAUUCAUCUUCAUAACCCUAGAAACCAGCACAGCAUCAAUGCUUAAUAUAUUUGUGGAGAAUAAAUGGGUAAAUGAGAUAGACAAGGCAUUUUGGAUCUCUGAAGGAAAAUCAAUGCAUCAGUGAAUCAUUCCAUUGGGCAGUGCAGGGCCCCAUGGAAGAUCACCCAGAAACAGGCAACACAUGGCCCAUUAACUCUGUCGUUUACUCAGUAAACAAGUUAUUGAGUGCCUUCUCUGUGUUGGGCUCCUUUACCUGCCAGGGGUUACAAAGACGGCCUAGUCCAGACACUCGGAUUAGCAAUCCUGAAGAACAG